CGGCAAGAGCUCAACUUUGGAAUCGCUCCGGCGAGUUGUAGUCUGGAGGCGGCCGGUCCGCCUUGCGCAACCAAAUCUAAGUCCUCUGGAACGAGGCGCUUGAAAGGGUGACAGCCCCGUGGAUUUUUGUUGUUGUGCUUGGCCCCUGGUCUGCCGACGAGUCGAGUUGUUUGGGAAUGCAGCUCUAAGUGGGUGGUAAAUUCCAUCUAAAGCUAAAUACCGGCGAGAGACCGAUAGCGAACAAGUACAGUAAUGGAAAGAUGAAAAGCACUUUGAAAAGAGAGUGAAACAGUACGUGAAAUUGUUGAAAGGGAAGGGCUUGCAGCUAGACAACUGUCAGCAUCGGGUGGAGCGGAACUAAAAGUGGGAGCUGAUGUAGCAACCCCCCCGGGGUUGCAUUAUACAACUCUCAGAUGGUUCCUGCUUCGCCCGAGGAUCGCCUAUUUGAAGGAUGC
rnacentral:rRNA from 1 species